rnacentral:rRNA from 1 species
UACGGAGGGUGCAAGCGUUAUCCGGAUUCACUGGGUUUAAAGGGUGCGUAGGUGGGCAGUUAAGUCAGUGGUGAAAUCUCCGGGCUCAACCCGGAAACUGCCAUUGAUACUAUCUGUCUUGAAUAUCGUGGAGGUAAGCGGAAUAUGUCAUGUAGCGGUGAAAUGCUUAGAUAUGACAUAGAACACCCAUUGCGAAGGCAGCUUACUACGGAUAUAUUGACACUGAGGCUCGAAAGCGUGGGGAUCAAACAGG